AUCCAUAAGAAAAAUAUCUCUCCUCUACAAGGCAUAUAUAACAUUGACUCCCAUUUGUCGCCCGGUCUUUAACUCACUUUUAUCUUUUUCCUCUUUCAUUCAGAAACCCUAGCUUUAGUGUAAACGAUGGCCGGCACGUACGGGUACGAAGGCGGCGGAUCUGCUCCGCCUUCUGGUGGUGGAGGCGGCGGUGGUUACGGUGGUUCUGGAGGCGGCGGGUAUGGAUCAGGUGGUGGAGGAUAUGGCGGUGCAAGUGGCGGUUACGGAGGCAGCGGAGGGUCAUACGGUGGCGGAGGUGGUAGAGGUGGUGGUGGUAGAGGAGGUGGAGGAGGAUACGGUGGUAGUUCAAAUAGUCGAGGAGGUGGCGGCGGUGGAUACCAAGGAGGAGGAGAUCCUGGAGGUCGCGGUGGCGGUCGCGGUGGAGGAAGUGGUAAGGAAGGUGAUUGGCGUUGCCCUAACCCUAGCUGUGGAAAUUUGAACUUUGCUAGAAGAGUUGAAUGUAACAAAUGUGGUGCACCUUCACCUGCUGGUUCUGACGAUCGUGGUGGCAGAGGUGGUAGCGGUUAUAACAGAGGUGGAAGUGGUGGGGGAUAUGGAAAUAGUCGAGGGGGAAGAGGCGACAACUAUGAUGACAGAAAUGCUGGAGGUGGUAGAACAGGUUCUUAUGGUGGUAGUCAGGGAAGAGAUGGUGGUGGUUAUGCUCAAGGUCCUCCACAUGCUCCUCCAUCUUAUGGGGCAGCUGAUAGCAACUAUCCACCACCAUCUAAUACUUAUGGUCGGAACCCUGAUGCCGUCCCCCCGCCCACGAGUUAUGUUGGUGGACCUGCAUCUUAUCCCCCUUCAUAUGGUGCCCCUGGUGGCUAUGGUGGGGAUACACCAGCCAAUGCCCGUGGGGGUGGAAGGGGUGGCCCACCGGGAGGAUAUGAUGGGGGAUAUGGCGGUGGUCCCAGGAAUGCAGGUGGUUAUGAUAGUUCCCCAGCUGAGGCUCCGGAAAAGGUCAAGCAAUGUGAUGAGAACUGUGGAGAUUUCUGUGACAACGCAAGAAUAUAUAUCUCAAAUUUGCCUCCUGAUGUGACCAUUGAAGAACUUAGAGAACUUUUUGGGAGCAUUGGACAAGUGGCAAGAAUCAAGCAAAAACGAGGCUACAAAGACCAGUGGCCUUGGAGCAUAAAGUUAUACACAGAUGAACAGGGGAAAAACAAAGGAGAUGCUGUUUUGUCAUAUGAAGACCCUUCUGCAGCGCAUUCUGCGGGUGGCUUUUUCAAUAAUCACGACUUCAGAGGUUACAAAAUCAGUGUUGCGAUGGCUGAAAAGUCUGCACCAAAGCCUGCUCCAGCUUUUGGUUCUGGACGUGGCGGUCGAGGGGGUUAUGGUGGCGGCGGCCGCAGGGAUAACUACAGAGACGGUGGAGGUUCUGGCCCAGAUAGACAGUCUCAUGGAGGAAACCGUUCACGUCCUUACUGAGUUUCAGCCAAGCAUCUUAUGUACUAAAAUUUGUGGUGGGAGGGUUUUUUAUUAGUUCCAUUUCAAGAUAUACUCUGUGACUAGGAGGUAGGUUGAUCACUCAUUUGCACUUUGAGCAAUAUAUGCUUUUUCUCCUUUCUUUCUCCUUCUUGGGGUGUAGGAAGGGAUGGGGUGUUCAAGUCCUUUUUUUGAUUUGUUGAAUGUUUUGAUAGAGGCUACUGGAUAUUCUGCAAAUUGCUGCUAAGGUAGGUGAAAAUAUUCAGGUGAUUGCUGCAUCUUGGCAUGAAGCCUGAUAUAAUGAUUCCGUUGACUAUGAUGUCACGUAACUACUUGAGCUGUUAUUUUCUGCUUGUGUGCCUGCUAGUCCAGUUUUUCUUCUGUGGAAGAAUGUUUAGGAUAGACUUCUCAAGUAGGCAGCUUUCCGAUAAUAUUAUUUCCCUCCGUAUGACCUCAUAGUUGUGCUGUCCUUGUAUACUGAGAUCCGAUCGCCAAAUUAGUAAUGACAUUCCUAUUGGGGAAGGAAUAGAGCUGUUGAAUUGGAUGUGAGAUCAGGUGUGGAGAAAGCUUGUCCAUACUCCCUCUGAUGGAAAGCUGUAGUGGAUGUUUCAUUCUUUCCAUACUCCAUACCAGGAGAAGUUCCCAGAGUGUUUUUCUGCUGUUCGUCCUUUCGAUAAAAUGAUGGUACCAUGGAGGUCAUAAGUUAGUUCAGUGGGUCUAGGUUACAUGUAACCUUUUUUUCCGUUGAGGAAAUUAAAUGUAUCUGAAUCGGAAUUUAAGAUUUGUAUCUAGAUUGUGAGAGAACACCAUCAUUCUGUA